AACGAACGCUGGCGGCAGGCCUAACACAUGCAAGUCGAACGCCCCGCAAGGGGAGUGGCAGACGGGUGAGUAACGCGUGGGAACCUACCCAGUGGUACGGAACAACCCAGGGAAACUUGGGCUAAUACCGUAUACGCCCUUAGGGGGAAAGAUUUAUCGCCAUUGGACGGGCCCGCGUUGGAUUAGCUAGUUGGUGGGGUAACGGCCUACCAAGGCAACGAUCCAUAGCUGGUCUGAGAGGAUGAUCAGCCACACUGGGACUGAGACACGGCCCAGACUCCUACGGGAGGCAGCAGUGGGGAAUCUUGGACAAUGGGCGCAAGCCUGAUCCAGCCAUGCCGCGUGAGUGAAGAAGGCCCUAGGGUUGUAAAGCUCUUUCGGCGGGGACGAUAAUGACGGUACCCGCAGAAGAAGCCCCGGCUAACUCCGUGCCAGCCGCCGCCGUAAUAC
rnacentral:rRNA from 1 species